AGAGAGAUGGGGCAUUUAGGAUGGAGUGUUCCAAGCCUGCAGAACUGGAUGCAUAACUCCUACUUACUUCUUCAGCAACACAUCAACCUGUGUGCCACCAUGCUUCUUGGCCAUGUUGAUAAUGGACUAACCUUCGAAACUGAUAUUGUGUGAUACUUUAAUAUACAAGUACAAUGCUGAUGUCUAAAUCAGUGUUAACAUGGUGGGAGGUGUUCUGUACCGAAGGAAGGGAAGUGAAAGCUGAUUGUGUGCUGCUGGAUGAUGGCACAGCACCAUUAAUAGAAGGGGAAGAAGGAGCAUGCCAACUCAAUGAAAGGAAACACCUGUGCAACAAAUCAAGACAUGGCUGCCCCAUGCCUACAAGUCCAGUAGUUGUGAGAUGAGGUGUCAAGAACAAAUUAAAUUUUCAUAAUUUCUCAUAGUGAAUGAUUCCCCCCCCACUUUGUGAAGAAAGAGGGAUUAUAGUUUGAGUAGCAGGAAAAAAAAAACACAGGGAAAAGCCAGAGAAGUUGAAAACUCCUACUUUGUUGCACCUAUCUAUCAAGAUAAAACAUUGCUGGAUGGUGAAAUGAAUAAUCACACAACAAAGAGAACACCUUACUAUGAAGCUAAUGAAGUGGGAAGAAAAUACCUAUGUAGUCUUGAGGAAUGCCGGAAGACAGAUUACAAUGACCUUAUUUCUGAGAAUGGUAAAGACUUUUGUUCUGAUUUGAAUAAAAAUGUAAUUCAGAUAUCGGAAGUGAAGAUG